rnacentral:lncRNA from 1 species
CGAUCGAUAACAAUCUCAAGCUCGAGACGGACGGAAGAGCUCGUUACUCAACGUAUCACAGCCGAGUCACUCUACCCCCAAGAAUUGGAAGGCCGAAUUAUGCGGAACACCGAAACGACGCGUCUGGACUUCGGUUCUCCAAAGAGAACCUGAUCUGCACCUCUGAUGAAUUUCUGCGGUAAAGGUCGUCUAGUCAUUGUCCUGCAGUCUUAGCGCACAUGGAUAUCGUACCUACCCAGAUGAAGCUUUGGAGGUCAGUGGACUGAGUGAAGGUUCAAAAAUGGUAACUGCACAUUUGCA